GGGCGUAGCUUAAUGGUAGAGUCUCUGGUUUCCAACCAGAUUACGUGGGUUCGAUUCCCAUCGCCC
rnacentral:tRNA from 1 species